AUUGAACGCUGGCGGCAGGCCUAACACAUGCAAGUCGAACGAGUGGCGGACGGGUGAGUAAUGUCUGGGAAACUGCCCGAUGGAGGGGGAUAACUACUGGAAACGGUAGCUAAUACCGCAUACCCUCGGAUGUGCCCAGAUGGGAUUAGCUAGUAGGUGGGGUAACGGCUCACCUAGGCGACGAUCCCUAGCUGGUCUGAGAGGAUGACCCGACAACAUGGAACUGAGGAAAUGUCCAGAAUCCUAAGGGAGGCAGGCGGUGGGAAUCUUUCGCAAUGGACGAAAGGCUGAAGGAGCAACGGCGCGGGAGUGAUGACAGCCUUUGGGGUGUUAAGUCUUUUAAGCGGGACGACGGUACCGGAAGAGAAAGCCACGGCUAACUACGUGCCAGCAGCCGCGGUAAUAC
rnacentral:rRNA from 1 species